GCUGAAUGGUACUACACAGUCAGACGCCUGGGCCCUUCCCCACCAUAUCCAUAUCCAAUCAGUCCAAUAGUGCCAUCACUUCACUACCAAGCAGCUUCCCAUUUCCAGUUCCUAAUUCAACCAUCAUUUUGAAGAGCACAACCUAAGAGGUUAGCCUUAAAUAUGUCCCUUUGACAUAUUUCUCACUUGUAGUCAGAGGAAUAUUUCCAAAAGGCAAACCAUAUUUUUCUCCUUACCUCUAUUUUGUCCACUAGUUCUCUCUCCUUCUCUUUUGUUCUCUUCCUCCCUUGCCUACAGCUCGCUCCCUGCUUCAAGCACCCACCGUUCUCAAGAUAAAGUCUGAAUUCCUUAAAAUGGUAAAGACUCGUGUAGCCUAGCCCCCAGCCUCAUCUUCUGCCUUCCUGCUGAACUUCAAGUUCAAACACAACAAACCUUCUCUAGUCUUCAGAGUGACCUUCUUUGUUAGAUGGGUCCUUUCCCCCAACAUCCCUCUUUGACUGGUUAACUUCUGUUUAUCUUUUACAUCUUAGCGUAGCCCACCAGCAGGUAGAUUUGAGUAUAAAGGGUUUUGUUUUCUUCUUUCAAAUAAACAUUGGUCGCUAAGGAUUCACUGAGAUAACUAUGUUUCUUUUGGGGACAUAAUGACUUUAGAACAUAUUUCAUAUUCACAGUCAAAAAUCACAACAAAACUAAAACAUGAAACUUACAUCAAGUUGAACAAAUUGCAAAAACUCUCCAACCAGCUCCUUAGACACGGCUUGUACAAACGUCUCACGUUUUUCCAUGACAGAUGGCACUGUUCAAAUGGCAUUUAUUUUGUAACCCUAAUGGAAAACACAAUCAUACUGAAACACUUGCAAAUAUAUCUUUUCCUGUAAGAUUUAAUUUGAUAUUAACAUCCAAGAACUGCAAGAAAAUUCCUCAACCACGUAUGGCAGACAGUUUCUAAAAACAUUCUGACAUAAAACACGCUAUAAUAUCUGAAAAACAAUUUACUUAUUUCCUUUACUGGGGAUGUGAAUAACAUGAUAUUAAUGAUAUUUUAUCAACAAUUGUUAAUAAAAUUACCAACUAAGGAGGGAGAAGAGGGCUCUGUCACACCAGCCGGGGGCCCGGAGGAGGGGUCUCCAGGGCCACACAGGGCCUGGCCCAGCAGAGUGAGCCACUGGCUCCAAGAAGGGGAGGAGUCUCUCCAGCACAUAGGAAGCUGUAUUAGUCUGCUCUCACACUGCUAUGAAGGAAUACCUGAGGCCAGGUGCAGUGACUCACACCUGUAAUCCCAGUACUUUGAGAGGCCAAGGUGGGCAGAUCACCUGAGGUCUGGAGUUUGAGACCAGCCUGACCAACAUGGUGAAACCCCGUCUCUACUAAAAAUACAAAAAUUACCCAGGCAUGGUGGCGUGCGCCUGUAAUCCCAGCUACUCGGGAGGCUGAGGCAGGAGAAUCGCUUGAACCCAGGAGGCACAGCCACACUUAGGGAGAGCUUGGGAAGGGGUGGAGGGUGACAACUGGGGGUGCUGAGACAGAUACCAUCACCUGGUGUCCCCGACAGUGAGGGGAGGGGAAUGGUGGGGCGAGCCAGGCUCUGCAGGGCCCUCUGGACUUCUGGGGAGCUCCUGUUCAGUGCAAGUGGUUUUCUUCCCCCUCUUAGGUUGAAUUCCUCUUUAACAUGAUCCCCGGCCUUUCGAUAAAGGAAUUUUCAUACACAACCUGCAGCUGUGACCUAGGGAAGACUGCAGGGGCAAAAGUGAAGAGGAAAGUGAGCAGCCCCCCCCCCAAUCCCCCUGGGGUCCUCGGGGACGUCGCAGCAUGGGUCCAGGGAUGCGGAGCUCAGGCACGGGAGGUGAGCUCAGGGGUAUCUCCUUAGUGGUUACUCAAAGGAGAACAAGAUAAACCAUCGAGGGCAAACGUUUUCAACCAUGGCUGCCCAUGAAAACUACUUCAGCUGCUUUAAAAAUACUAAAGGCUAGGCUUCCUGGCCAACUCAAUCAAAUCGAUCAAUUCAACCGGGGAUUCCCUGGGCAUUCUUUUUUUUUAGACAGAGUCUCACACUGUCGCCCAGGCUGGAGUGCAAUGGCGCAAUCUCGGCUCACUGCAAGCUCCACCUCCCAGGUUCACGCCAUUCUCCCAUCUCAGCCUCCUGAGUAGCUGGGACUACAGGCGCCCGCCAUCACACCCGGCUAAUUUUUUUGUAUUUUUAGUAGAGACGGGUUUUCACUGUGUUAGCCAGGAUGGUCUUGAUCUCCUGACCUCGUGAUCCUCCCGCCUCGGCCUGCACUGAGGAGUGAGUUCUGGCUGCUGCCUCCACCUCACAGCAGGCAGGGGUCUUCACAGCCACUGCAUGCCCAAGACUACCCAGGCCAAUGGACUAGAAUGUCAAUCUUUAAAAUGCCUGAAGGGGGCCAGGCGUGGUGGCUCACACCUGUAAUCCCAGCACUUUGGGAGGCCAAGGCGAGUGGAUCACUUGAGGCCAGGAGUUCAAGACCAGCCUGGCCAACACGGUGAAACCCCAUCUCUACUAAAAAUACAAAAAAUGAGCCUAGUGCAGUGGCAUGUGCGUGUAAUCCCAACUACUUGGGAGGCUGAGGCAGGAGAAUUGCUUGAACCUGGGAGGCAGGGGUUGCAGUUAGCGGAGAUCGCACCAUUGCACUCCAGGCUGGGCAACAAGAGCAAAACUCUGUCUCAAUUAAAAAAAAAAAAAAAAAGGCCGGGUGCGGUGGCUCAUGCCUGUAAUCCCAGCACUUUGGGAGGCCAAGGCGGGCAGAUCACAAGGUCAGGAGAUCGAGACCAUCCUGGUCAACAUGGUGAAACCCCGUGUGGUGACAGACGCCUGUAAUCUCAGCUACUCAGGAGGCUGAGACAGGAGGACGGCGUAAACCCGGGAGGCGGAGUUUGCAGUGAGCUGAGAUUGCGCCACUGCACUCCAGCCUGGGUGACAGAGCCUUCUCCUCCUCCUCCUUCUUUUUUUUUUAAAGGUCACUCUCUCACCAAGGCUGGAGUGCAGUGGCACUCCACUCAAUAUCAUCAUAGCUCACUGCAGCCUCAACCUUUUUACUGGGCUCAAGCAAUCCUCCCAACUCAAUCUCCUGAGUAGCUGAAACUACAGGCAUGCCCCACCAUGCCUGGCUAAUUUUUAAAUUUUCUGCAGAGACAGGGUCUUACUAUGUUGCCCAGGGUUUCUUACUCCUGGCCUCAAGUGAUCUUCCUGCUUCCUUAAGCCUCUGAAAUUGCUGGGAUUACAGUCGCGAGAUACCAUGUUUGGCCCAGUCGGUGGUUUCUUACCAAAUUAAAUAUAUUCUUUUUUUUUUUUUUCUAGACAGGGUCUUGGUCUGUUGCCCAGGCUGGAGUGCAGUGGCACAAACAUAGCUCACUGCAGCCUCAGCCUCCUGGGCUCAAGUGAUCCUCCCACAUCAGCUUCCCAAAGUUCUGGGAUUACAGGUGUGAGCCACCAUGCCCAGCUCAAAAUAUACUAUUAUCGUAUUAUCCAACAAUUGUGCUCCUUAGUAUUUAACCAAAAGAGUUGAAAACUAUGGCCAUACAGAAAACUUGCACAGGGAUGUUUAUAGCAGCUUUAUUUGUAAUUGCUCAAACUUGGAAGCAAAUGAGCUGCCCUUUAGCAAGUGAGGUAGAUAAGUAAACUGUGGCACAUUCAGACAAUGGAAUAUGAUUCAGAACUAAAAAGAAAUGAGCUAUCAAGCUAUGAAAAGACAUGGAGGAGCUGUAAAUGCAUACUGCUAAGUGAAAGAAGCCAAUCUGAAAAGGCCGUAUACUGUGUGAUUCCAACUAUAUGACAUUUUGGAGAAGGCAAAACUAUAAAGACAAUGAAAAGAUCACACACACGAUACACGGCCACACACUCACGCACAUGAGCACAGACGCACGCACACAUACACAGGCAGAUGUAUUUGGCCCAUGAAGACAGAGAGCUUCCCCAUCACUGCCGCGCAAACCGCCUCGUACAUAGUAGGUGCGUGUUUCAAUGUUGCUGAAUGAAUCAAGAGCGCUAAACAGU
rnacentral:lncRNA from 1 species